AUGAACGCUAGCGACAGGCCUAACACAUGCAAGUCGAGGGGCAGCACAAGGAGCAAUCUGAGGUGGCGACCGGCGCACGGGUGAGUAACACGUAUGCAACCUGCCUGUAAGCGGGGAAUAGCCCGUUGAAAGACGGACUAAUACCGCAUAAUACUAAAUUACUGCAUGGUAAUUUAUUUAAACAUUUAUGGCUUACAGAUGGGCAUGCGCAUGAUUAGCUAGUUGGAGAGGUAACGGCUCCCCAAGGCAACGAUCAUUAGGGGUUCUGAGAGGAAGGUCCCCCCACACUGGUACUGAGACACGGACCAGACUCCUACGGGAGGCAGCAGUGAGGAAUAUUGGUCAAUGGACGAGAGUCUGAACCAGCCAAGUCGCGUGCAGGAAGAAUGUUCCCUAUGGAUUGUAAACUGCUUUUGCAGGGGAAUAAAGUGCAUCACGUGUGAUGUUUUGUAUGUACUCUGCGAAUAAGGAUCGGCUAACUCCGUGCCAGCCGCCGC
rnacentral:rRNA from 1 species